rnacentral:rRNA from 1 species
UACGUAGGGCGCAAGCGUUAUCCGGGAUUAUUGGGCGUAAAGAGCUCGUAGGCGGUUUGUCGCGUCUGCCGUGAAAGUCCGGGGCUUAACCCCGGAUCUGCGGUGGGUACGGGCAGACUAGAGUGCAGUAGGGGAGACUGGAAUUCCUGGUGUAGCGGUGAAAUGCGCAGAUAUCAGGAGGAACACCGAUGGCGAAGGCAGGUCUCUGGGCUGUAACUGACGCUGAGGAGCGAAAGCAUGGGGAGCGAACAGG